CAGUCGCCGCGGUAAUACGGAGGGUGCAAGCGUUAAUCGGAAUUACUGGGCGUAAAGCGUGCGUAGGCGGUUCGUUAAGUCUGUUGUGAAAGCCCCGGGCUCAACCUGGGAAUGGCAAUGGAUACUGGCGAGCUAGAGUGUGUCAGAGGAUGGUGGAAUUCCCGGUGUAGCGGUGAAAUGCGUUGAGAUCGGGAGGAACAUCAGUGGCGAAGGCGGCCAUCUGGGACAACACUGACGCUGAGGCACGAAAGCGUGGGGAGCAAACAGGAUUAGAUACCCCGGUAGUCCCUGUCUCUUAUAC
rnacentral:rRNA from 1 species